rnacentral:rRNA from 1 species
AGCGAACGUUAGCGGCGGGCCUAACACAUGCAAGUCGAGCGAGAAAGGGGGUUCGCCCCCGAGUACAGCGGCGGACGGGUGAGUAACACGUAGGUAAUUUUCCCUUGAGCGGGGGACAACGUUCCGAAAGGGACGCUAAUACCGCAUAAGUUCUUGGGUGCUUCGGCACUGGAGAGGAAAGCUAGGCCGCAAGGUCUGGCACUCGAGGAGAAGCCUGCGUCGCAUCAGCUAGUUGGUGGGGUAAUGGCCUACCAAGGCAAAGACGCGUAGCUGGUCUGAGAGGAUGAUCAGCCACACUGGGACUGAGACACGGCCCAGACUCCUACGGGAGGCAGCAGU